rnacentral:rRNA from 1 species
CCACCCGUGUUUAUCGUACCUUGUUGCUUCGGCGGGCCCGCCGCAAGGCCGCCGGGGGGCAUCUGCCCUCUGGCCCGCGCCCGCCGAAGACACCAUUGAACGCUGUCUGAAGAUUGCAGUCUGAGCAAUUAGUUAAAUAACUUAAAACUUUCAACAACGGAUCUCUUGGUUCCGGCAUCGAUGAAGAACGCAGCGAAAUGCGAUACGUAAUGUGAAUUGCAGAAUUCAGUGAAUCAUCGAGUCUUUGAACGCACAUUGCGCCCCCUGGUAUUCCGGGGGGCAUGCCUGUCCGAGCGUCAUUGCUGCCCUCAAGCACGGCUUGUGUGUUGGGCUCCGUCCUCCUUCCGGGGGACGGGCCCGAAAGGCAGCGGCGGCACCGCGUCCGGUCCUCGAGCGUAUGGGGCUUCGUCACCCGCUCUGUAGGCCCGGCCGGCGCUUGCCGACACAUCAAUCUUUUUUCCAGGUUGACCUCGGAUCAGGUAGGGAUACCCGCUGAACUUAAGCAUAUCAAU